AUGGAGUUUGGGCUCAUCUUGGUUUUCCUUGUCGCAAUUUUAAGAGGUGUCCAGUCUGAGGUGCAGCUCGUGGAGUCUGGCGGAAGCUUGGUGAAGCCCGGAGGGUCUCUGAGACUCUCUUGCAUGGCUUCUGGAUUCACCUUCAGUAGCUACACAAUGGACUGGGUCCACCAGGCUCCAGGGAAGGGGCUGGAGUGGGUCUUAGCAAUUGGUGGUAGUGGUGGUAACACAUACUACGCCAACUCUGUGAAAGGCCGAUUCACCAUCUCCAGAGACAAUGGCAAGAACACACUGUCCCUGCAAAUGAAAACCUGA